rnacentral:rRNA from 1 species
GAUCCUGGCUUAGGAUGAACGCUAGCGGCAGGCUUAACACAUGCAAGUCGAGGGGCAUCGGGAGUAGCAAUACUUGCCGGCGACCGGCGCAAGGGUGCGUAACGCGUGAGCAACAUGCCCGUAUCAGGGGGAUAAUCCAUGGAAACGUGGUCUAAUACCCCAUAGUAAUUAUGUAAGGCAUCUUAUAUAAUUUAAAGCUUUGGUGGAUACGGAUUGGCUCGCGUGACAUUAGCUGGAUGGUAAGGUAACGGCUUACCAUGGCUACGAUGUCUAGGGGUUCUGAGAGGAAGGUCCCCCACACUGGAACUGAGACACGGUCCAGACUCCUACGGGAGGCAGCAGUGAGGAAUAUUGGACAAUGGAUGGAAAUCUGAUCCAGCCAUGCCGCGUGCCAGGAAGACGGCCCUAUGGGUUGUAAACUGCUUUUGUAUGGGAGCAAUAAGGGCUACGUGUAGUCCGAUGAGAGUACCAUACGAAUAAGCACCGGCUAACUCCGUGCCAGCCGCGGC